CACACAGGGGCCAUUCGGACAACUGUAAUCACUUCAUGUUCCCACUGUGUAGAGCUUUUUGUUCAUGUUGGUUAAGUUUGGUCUAAUGAAAAACAAGUGCAAGCCAUCAAAGCCAGCUUGCAUUCAGUGUCUUGUUUGUAUUGUGUAAGGAGUAUGGCUAACCAGAUCCAUUCAGCUUAGUAGAAGCCCAAUGCACAUCUACCAGCAGCAUGCCCCAUCCAAUUGGGCAUCACGUCUGCAUGUAAUGUUAAUUUACACUGUACACAGACACACACACACUUACAAGCAGCACGUGUGACCAGCUCAGAGGUGCCUCUCGCGCUCUAACGCACACACCAUCCAAUUGGGCAUCACGUCUGCAUGUAAUGUUAAUUUACACUGUACACAGACACACACACACUUACAAGCAGCACGUGUGACCAGCUCAGAGGUGCCUCUCGCGCUCUAACGCACACACCAUCCAAUUGGGCAUCACGUCUGCAUGUAAUGUUAAUUUACACUGUACACAGACACACACACACUUACAAGCAGCACGUGUGACCAGCUCAGAGGCGCCUCUCGCGCUCUAACGCACACACCAUCCGAUUGGGCAUCACGUCUG